rnacentral:snoRNA from 2 species
AUUGCAUAUUAUUAGAACCGGUUAUCCAUCUAAACGAUGUAAUUGGUGUCAAAAUAUGCAACAUGAAAAGCAACAUUUUACUUGUCUUUAUUUUGUGUAGAUAAUAAACCAACAAUCUAAAGAUUUCUUUUGUUGCAACAAAA